rnacentral:rRNA from 1 species
GACGAACGCUGGCGGCGUGCUUAACACAUGCAAGUCGAACGGAAAGGCCCCUUUGGGGGUACUCGAGUGGCGAACGGGUGAGUAACACGUGAGUAACCUGCCCUUGACUUCGGGAUAACUUCAGGAAACUGGGGCUAAUACCGGAUAGGAAUCCUUGCUGCAUGGUGGGGGUUGGAAAGCUUCGGCGGUUUUGGAUGGACUCGCGGCUUAUCAGCUUGUUGGUGGGGUAGUGGCUUACCAAGGCUUUGACGGGUAGCCGGCCUGGGAGGGCGACCGGCCACAUUGGGACUGAGAUACGGCCCAGACUCCUACGGGAGGCAGCAGUGGGGAAUAUUGCACAAUGGGCGGAAGCCUGAUGCAGCAACGCCGCGGGCGGGAUGACGGCCUUCGGGUUGGAAACCGCUUUCAGCAGGGGCGAAGCUUGUGGUGACGGUACCUGCAGAAGAAGCACCGGCUAACUACGUG